GACGAACGCUGGCGGCGUGCUUAACACAUGCAAGUCGAACGGUGAAGCGCCUUCCUUGUUGGUGGGUGUGGAUGAGUGGCGAACUGGUGAAUAACACGUGAGUAACCUUCCCCCUUCUUCUGGAUAACCGCAUGAAAGUGUUGCUAAUGGGGGAUAUUCUGGGUCUGUCGCAUGAUGGGUCUGGGAAAGAUAUGGUUUCGGUGGUGGAUGGGCUCGCGGCCUAUCAGCUUGUUGGUGGGGUGAUGGCCUACCAAGGCGGUGACGGGUAGCCGGCCUGAGAGGGUCGACGGUCCCACAGGGGAUGAGACGCCGACACGCCUACGGCGGGCAGCAGUAGUGGGUAAUCUUGGAUAAGCGGCGGCAGGAUGGAGCAGCGACGCCGGGGUAGGGAUGGAGGUCGUCGGGUUGUGAACCUUUUUCGGCAGUGAAGCAGGCCUGCCUCGUCUGUGGGUGGGUUGACGGUAGCUGGAUAAGAAGCGCCGGCCAACUACGUG
rnacentral:rRNA from 1 species